rnacentral:rRNA from 1 species
AAACAUCUCUUUUAGAUUAUAAUUAUAAGUCUAAUCUGCUCAAUGAGUUUAAUUAAAUAGCUGCAGUAAUUUAACUGUACAAAGGUAGCAUAAUCAAUAGUUUUUUAAUUGAAAGCUGGAAUGAAGGAUUGAAUGAAAUAAUAAUUGUCUCAAGUUUAAUUUUAUUAGAAUUUUUUUUUAAGUUAAAAAACUUAAUUGAAUUUAAAAGACGAGAAGACCCUAUAGAUUUUUAUAAUUUUUUUUUAUAAAUUAUAAAAAUAUAAUUUAAAUUUUAUAAAAAUAAUUAUUAGGUUGGGGUAAUUUAUAAAUUUAAAAAAUUUUAAAAUUUUUAAAACAAUUAUUUUUGAAUUAAAAGAUUCUUAUUAUGGAUUAUUAGAAUAAAAUACCUUAGGGAUAACAGCGUAAUAUUUUUAGAAAGAUCAUAUUGAUAAAAUUGAUUGCGACCUCGAUGUUGAAUUAAAAUAAAAUUAUAAUGAAGAAGUUAUAAAUUUUUAGUCUGUUCGACUAUUAAAAUUUUACGUGAUC